GACGAACCGUGCGAACGUUGUUCGGAAUCACUGGGCUUAAAGGGCGCGUAGGCGGGCCGCCAGGUCGGGGGUGAAAUGCCGCAGCUUAACUGUGGAAGUGCCCCCGAUACCGGCGGCCUCGAGGGGGAUAGGGGCGUGUGGAACUUCCGGUGGAGCGGUGAAAUGCGUAGAUAUCGGAAGGAACGCCGGUGGCGAAAGCGACACGCUGGAUCCCUACUGACGCUGAGGCGCGAAAGCCAGGGGAGCAAACGGG
rnacentral:rRNA from 1 species